CAGCAGCCGCGGGAAUACAGAGGAUGCAAGCGUUAUCCGGAAUGAUUGGGCGUAAAGCGUGCGCAGGCGGUUUCUUAAGUCUGAUGUGAAAGCCCCCGGCUCAACCGGGGAGGGUCAUUGGAAACUGGGAAACUUGAGUGCAGAAGAGGAGAGUGGAAUUCCACGUGUAGCGGUGAAAUGCGUAGAUAUGUGGAGGAACACCAGUGGCGAAGGCGACUCUCUGGUCUGUAACUGACGCUGAGGAGCGAAAGCGUGGGGAGCGAACAGGAUUAGAUACCCGAGUAGUCCCUGUCUCUUAUAA
rnacentral:rRNA from 1 species